GGCCGGUCUAUGAAGCCUCCAUCAUCAAGCUAGCAGCCCAUGAAAUCGAAUGCAGAUCUUCCUGAUGUGAGAUUUACAUAAAUAUGUCAAAGUCUCAACCUCAUGCUGCCCUCCCCCAUCCUCCUAAACCUGUGGAUACAAAUGCAGAUUUCCUUAAUGUUCAAUGGUGCGUGUUCUUCUAAUGGCCGCCUUCCCACUGGAGGUUUUGAUCCACAGCAAUUUAAAAGGAGGACAGAGCAAAACGGACAUCGGCGCAGAGCGAAGAACUGCCCUUCAUAAGGACACUAUGACAGCCAUAUAUAGUAAGUGAAGACUUUCUGUGUAUCUAAAAUUGCAUACAGCACAAGUAACUUACUUUGCAACCAUUAAAAUAGGUUGUAAAGUAAGUUACCAAUACAAAUAGGUGAUGAUGCAUUGUAGUGGUUGGUCUCAGACAAAGAAGGUCAACAGAUUUAUGAAUGCUGGAGGGUAAGGAGAGAGGACCAAAAGGGGUGUUAGCAUUACUGUAAUGUGAACUGGAUAGACUUUCCAUCUAGGAAAAAAAAAGAGGU